AACGAACGCUGGCGGCAUGCCUAACACAUGCAAGUCGAACGAGACCUUCGGGUCUAGUGGCGCACGGGUGCGUAACGCGUGGGAACCUGCCCUUAGGUUCGGAAUAACUCCCCGAAAGGGGUGCUAAUACCGGAUAAUGUCUUCGGACCAAGGAUUUAUCGCCUUUGGAUGGGCCCGCGUUGUAUUAGCUAGUUGGUAGGGUAAAAGCCUACCAAGGCGACGAUCCAUAGCUGGUCUGAGAGGAUGAUCAGCCACACUGGGACUGAGACACGGCCCAGACUCCUACGGGAGGCAGCAGUGGGGAAUAUUGGAAAAUCGGCGAAAGCCUGAUCCCGCAAUGCCGCGUGAGUGAUGAAGGCCUUAGGGUUGUAAAGCUCUUUUACCCGGGAUGAUAAUGACAGUACCGGGAGAAUAAGCACCGGCUAACUCCGUG
rnacentral:rRNA from 1 species